rnacentral:rRNA from 1 species
CCUACGGGAGGCAGCAGUGAGGAAUAUUGGUCAAUGGCCGAGAGGCUGAACCAGCCAAGUCGCGUGAGGGAAGACGGCCCUACGGGUUGUAAACCUCUUUUGUCGGGGAGCAAAGCGAGUCACGUGUGACUCAUUGAGAGUACCCGACGAAAAAGCAUCGGCUAACGCCGUGCCAGCAGCCGCGGUAAUACGGAGGAUGCGUGCGUUAUCCGGAUUUAUUGGGUUUAAAGGGCGCGCUGGCGGCCUGUAAAGUCAGUGGUAAAAGCCCGGGGCUCAACCCCGGCGAGCCGAUGAAACUGGCGGGCUGGAGUUGGAGAGAGGUACGCGGAAUGCGCGGUGUAGCAGUGAAAUGCUUAGAUAUCGCGCAGAACCCCGAUUGCGAAGGCAGCGUACCGGCUCCACACUGACGCUGAGGCACGAAGGCGUGGGUAUCGAACAGGAUUAGAUACCCGUGUAGUC